rnacentral:rRNA from 1 species
UCAAUAAGCGGAGGAAAAGAAACCAACAGGGAUUGCCUUAGUAACGGCGAGUGAAGCGGCAACAGCUCAAAUUUGAAAUCUGGCCCUUGGGUCCGAAUUGUAAUUUGUAGAGGAUGAUUUUGGUGCGGUAUCUUCCGAGUUCCUUGGAACAGGACGCCUUAGAGGGUGAGAGCCCCGUACGGUUGAAUGCCUAGCCUCUGUAAAUCUCCUUCGACGAGUCGAGUAGUUUGGGAAUGCUGCUCUAAAUGGGAGGUAAAUUUCUUCUAAAGCUAAAUAUUGGCCAGAGACCGAUAGCGCACAAGUAGAGUGAUCGAAAGAUGAAAAGCACUUUGAAAAGAGGGUUAAAUAGCACGUGAAAUUGUUGAAAGGGAAGGAUUUGUGACCAGACUUUUUCUGGGCGGAUCAUCCGGGGUUCUCUCCGGUGCACUUCGCCCAGUAAAGGCCAGCAUCGGUUUUCGGCGUGGGAUAAAAGCAGUAGGAAUGUGGCUCUCUACGGGGAGUGUUAUAGCCUAUUGUAUAAUACCGCGCUGGGGACCGAGGUUCGCGCUUCUGCAAGGAUGCUGGCGUAAUGGUUAUCAAUCACCCGUCUUGAAACACGGACCAAGGAGUCGAACAUUUGUGCGAGUGUUUGGGUGUUAAACCCUCACGCGUAAUGAAAGUGAACGGAGGUGAGAGCCCUUACGGGUGCAUCAUCGACCGAUCCUGAAGUUUUCGGAUGGAUUUGAGUAAGAGCAUAACUGUUCGGACCCGAAAGAUGGUGAACUAUGCGUGGAUAGGGUGAAGCCAGAGGAAACUCUGGUGGAGGCUCGCAGCGGUUCUGACGUGCAAAUCGAUCGUCAAAUCUGCGCAUGGGGGCGAAAGACUAAUCGAACCAUCUAGUAGCUGGUUACCGCCGAA